rnacentral:sRNA from 1 species
GACGAACAUGAUCGACGGAGGGAUGAUGGGACCGAGCAUGCCCGAAUAGGCGGUAAGCCCGGCGGCAAAGGUCUUGUCAUAGCCCUUCU